rnacentral:rRNA from 1 species
AUUGAACGCUGGCGGCAUGCCUUACACAUGCAAGUCGAACGGCAGCAUGGAGAGCUUGCUCUCUGAUGGCGAGUGGCGAACGGGUGAGUAAUGCAUCGGAACGUACCGUGUAAUGGGGGAUAACGUAGCGAAAGUUACGCUAAUACCGCAUACGACCUGAGGGUGAAAGCAGGGGAUCGCAAGACCUUGCGUUAUACGAGCGGCCGAUGUCAGAUUAGCGAGUUGGUGAGGUAAAGGCUCACCAAGGCGACGAUCUGUAGCGGGUCUGAGAGGAUGAUCCGCCAGACUGGGACUGAGACACGGCCCAGACUCCUACGGGAGGCAGCAGUGGGGAAUUUUGGACAAUGGGGGCAACCCUGAUCCAGCCAUGCCGCGUGAGUGAAGAAGGCCUUCGGGUUGUAAAGCUCUUUCGGCCGGGAAGAAAUCGCACAGGCUAAUACUCUGUGUGGAUGACGGUACCGGCAUAAGAAGCACCGGCUAACUACGUGCCAGCAGCCGCCGUAA